rnacentral:rRNA from 1 species
AAUCGGGAGAAGAGCAACAGGGAUUGCCUUAGUAACGGCGAGUGAAGCGGCAACAGCUCAAAUUUGAAAGCUGGCUCCUUCGGAGUCCGCAUUGUAAUUUGUAGAGGAUGAUUCGGCGAGGGCUCCCGCCUAAGUCCACUGGAACGUGGCGUCAUAGAGGGUGAGAAUCCCGUAUGCGGUGGGUUGCCUUAGCCAUGUGAAUCUCCUUCGACGAGUCGAGUUGUUUGGGAAUGCAGCUCUAAAUGGGAGGUAAAUUUCUUCUAAAGCUAAAUACCGGCCAGAGACCGAUAGCGCACAAGUAGAGUGAUCGAAAGAUGAAAAGCACUUUGGAAAGAGAGUUAAAAAGUACGUGAAAUUGUUGAAAGGGAAGGGCUUGCAACCAGACUUGUCCGCAGUUGCUCAGCCGGUCUCCUGACCGGCGUACUCUUCUGCGGCCAGGCCAGCAUCAGUUCGGGCGGUCGGAUAAAGACCUAGGGAAUGUAGCUCCUCUCGGGGAGUGUUAUAGCCCUGGGUGGAAUGCGACCAGCCUGGACUGAGGAUCUCGCUUCGGCAAGGAUGCUGGCGUAAUGGUUGUAAGCCGCCCGUCUUGAAACACGGACCAAGGAGUCUAACAUCUAUGCGAGUGUUUGGGUGUCAAACCCAUACGCGUAAUGAAAGUGAACGGAGGUGGGAACCCGCAAGGGCGCACCAUCGGCCGAUCCUGAUGUCUUCGGAUGGAUUUGAGCAAGAGCAUAGCUGUUGGGACCCGAAAGAUGGUGAACUAUGCCUGAAUAGGGUGAAGCCAGAGGAAACUCUGGUGGAGGCUCGCAGCGGUUCUGACGUGCAAAUCGAUCGUCAAAUUUGGGUAUAGGGGCGAAAGACUAAUCGAACCAUCUAGUAGCUGGGUCCUGCGUUUUUCUCCCCCCCCAAAGAAAAAAAC